GGUCAGAGGUUGGACUGGGUAAUCUUGGAGGUCUCUUCCAACCUAGAUGAUUCUGUGAUUUUGUAACAGGCCUUUUGGUUAACUUUUCCCCCCUGGCAGCCAGUGGGGGGAAAAACCUGCCACAGUGUCCACUGAGGGCCUGGAUUUCAGUGCUCCAGAAAGGUGGCAGAAACAACCAGCCGUCAAGGGAGGGCACUGCCACCCCCCUGCCCCUCAAGGCCAUUAAUGGCAGGGUGAAGCUGCGCAGCCAUCUCUAGGCGUUGCCACCUGCCCAGGGGCCAUGUGCACACAGAGGACAGGUCUUUCUGGCCACAGAGGGUACGGGGUGGAGGUGGGCACCAUGGCAGCCCCACAGGGUGGGGGGCUGUUCGACCCCUUGUCCUUCGCAAAGGACCUGCUGGCCGGCGGCGUGGCGGCCGCCAUCUCCAAGAUGGCCGUGGUGCCUGUCGAGCGAGUGAAGCUGUUGCUGCAGGUGCAGGCCUCAUCCAAGCAGAUCCAGGCGGACCAGCAGUACAAGGGCAUGAUCAACUGCUUUGUGCACAUCUCCAGGCAGCAAGGUAUAGAGCCCAGGAAACAAAAGCUUUUAGAAACACCUCUGUGUCAACAGCAAUGGAGAAGCCAUCAUGGGCUGCAUCACGGGCUGCUGGUGUUCGGAGUGGCGUUAUCUGAGAGGGAUUUCUCAGCUUCUAGCAUGGCAAUUUGGUAAACAUUAUAUGAUAUUUUCCAACGCAGGCUCUAAACUUUGCUUUUAAGAACAAGUACAAACCGAUUUGUAUGUCCAAAGUGGAUAAAGAAAAACAGGGAUUAUUGCCAAAUCCAAAACAAACUCCACUCAUUCUUUCCUUUUUCAUUGCUCAAGUUGUGACUGUGUUCUCAGGAAUGCUGUCAUAUCCGUUUGGCACUGUCAGGAGACGCAUGAUGAUGCAGGUAUGAUCUAGCUUACAGUUCUUUUCUGGAAAUUACUGGAUCUUUGAAACUUGGCAUGCUAAUUGGAGUGCUGUAUAGCCUUACAGCAUGUGAGACUAUUCAGAAAAAGAAGGGGAAACAGCUCCAGAAAGAAAAGAAGAUAGAUCUGAAAUAAUGGUAUUGCAGGAAUCUGGCUAAAAAUAUGUUCAGUUAACAGCUUGAUGAGAGAUUUUAGUAGAAAAGUGAGAUCUGUUUUCUUUCUCCUACUCAGAUGCUUGGUAUUUGGAUUAAGACGGGUCUGUGGGUAGAAUAAUGUGCUUUAUUAGUCCAGCUAAUACAGUUGGAAGACUAGGCUUUGUGGCAUACAGAUAUUUUUCAUGUGUGAAAUAGAAUCAAUGUUUUGCAAAGCUCAGUAUAUGCUGGGAAUUAUAGGAAAGUGUAUUUUUAGCUAUCUUGUUGCUAGUUAUUAGGUAAUUUUACUAGGCAGUUAAGUAGCAUUUGAAGUACAUUUAAUAAAGUAUGUUCUAACCAUCAAGAGCAUCUUUGCAUGUGAAAUAAAAAACAAAAAUGAUCGGGACCUUGUUCCCUGCACCACUGAGAAAGUUUUGCCAUCUGAUGACAAAAAGGAGAUGCUAGUUCCAAAGACAUGUCUCUAAGUGAGGUUUCAGGUGUAUCUUCUUUUCUCUCUGUACUCCAGAAAAUGAAAAGAAAAUCAGAACAAAUGUUGACAUAGUUGUUUUCAAAAUACUCCAGGAGAUACUUAGCUUCUUAUGUAAUGCCUGCAUACCUCUGGUAAUCUGUCCUAAAUCUGUCCCAAAUAACAGAAAUCCUUGAAGCUUAUAGUGGACAAACACUAUUAGAAAGCACUUCUUCCUUACAAACUAAAUAUGAUUUCACUGUCUUCAGAUUCUGCUUUCUCUGCUUAGUGAGCAGUCAGCCUAUAGUUAGUGCUGUUCAUAUUCAGAAGUACUGUUUCCCAAGGCUGGCCUUACCAAAAAAAUGCACGUAUUUCUGGUAGUUAACCUACUGCUGGGAUAGAGAAUAGUAUCAAGAUUAUUAAAAACGUAAAAUAUAUGAAAUAAGAUAAUGGUUUUACUAGCACACAGGAAACAACGUGAGAUGAUUUGGAUAUGUUGUGGAUAUGUAGGUAUGUAUGUACUUCAGGUGGUGUCCAUGUUUUGUUUACAUAGUUUUGAAACCUCAGGUACAAA